GCCAGGCGUGGUGGCCCACACCUGUAAUCCAUGCUAUGAGGGAGGCUGAGGCAGGAAUAUUGCAAGUUUAAGGCCAGCCUAGGCAUCUUAGAGAGAUCUUGUCUCAA
rnacentral:sRNA from 1 species